rnacentral:rRNA from 1 species
GACAGAGGGUGCAAACGUUGUUCGGAAUUACUGGGUGUAAAGCGAGUGUAGGCGGUUUGGUAAGUCGGAUGUGAAAGCCCCGGGCUCAACCCGGGAAGUGCACUCGAUACUGCCAAGCUAGAGUAUCGGAGAGGUUGGUGGAAUUCUCGGUGUAGAGGUGAAAUUCGUAGAUAUCGAGAGGAACACCGGUGGCGAAGGCGGCUCUCUGGGACGGUACUGACGCUGAGACGCGAAAGCGUGGGGAGCGAACAGG